rnacentral:lncRNA from 1 species
CGCGGCGGCGGGCUCGCCGCGCUAGCCUGAUCGACGGACGGACGGACGGAUCGCCACGCUGAUUAAUGUGCGCUUUGUAUGCUUGGUUGCUACUACUAGCAGGUGUAUGUAGAUAUUUGGCUCGGGCCGGGGCCGGGGGGAAUCCGUGUAAACCGCUCCCUCCCGAAAUUCUUCUCCUUUUUUUUCUGGUUUGUUUGUUCCUUCGUACGCUUGUGCUGAGAAGAUUGAUGGGCUUGCCGAUUAAUGAUUGUACCGCUUGCUGCUCGCAAGAAUUACUGGGAAGAAUUACAAGGUUUUGUUCGUAGUGUGCAUGUGACACUGUGGCGCAUCCUUUGGCGGCAGAUUCGGUCAACGCUUCGAAUUGUUUCUGCUUGGUUAUUUGCGAACAUUCCGGCAGAGUCUGGCUGCCGGCCUGAGUGCCUCAUGGCACUGGAUCUGAAGAGAGAUCGACACUUGAGAAUGGCGACAAAGAAGAAAAAAGAAUCGUGCAUGCAAGAGUUGACCCGCCCUUUUCCCGUUAUUACCACUGCACUUCACGAUGCAUGCGAUGCGACGAUGAACUCGGCGGCUACCACGGACGAAUUAGAUA